rnacentral:lncRNA from 1 species
AAGGAGAGAGAGACGCACGAGAAACAGAGUCCUGGAUUCUCCUCAUCUCUCCCAAAUCGCCGCCAUCAAUCGCCUCGUAUCCCUCCUCCGACCCACCUCGCCGCCGGCCCUUCCCCUCCGCUCCUUCCACCUCGCAGCUCUAGUGGCUGCCGGAUCCGCCCAAUCCCCACCCACUCAUCCCUCUCGCGUCCCAUCUCCCUCUCUUCACACGGCUCCUUCUACGCCACCUGCGACGGUUGACUCAGGCGACGUCCGGCGAACCCCGCCACCGUGAAGCACAGCCUAAGUCCCCCUCGCACCACGGCGCCCUCCCAUCAGGUUAGAUCUGGCGCUCGCGGUCACCAAAGCCCACCCGCGACCCUCCCCCCAUGGCUCUUAGGGUUUCAGGCGUCGGCUCCGGUGGCCGUCGUCCACCUCCCAUCCGGUGAGUGCAUCCCCUCCCCUGGCUUCAUCCUCUCUCUCUCCCCAUUUCUCUAACCUGCUCUUCUCUUCUUCUAUACAUGUGCAGGGAGGAACCGCCAGUGGACAUCCUUGCAGAUACUCGGGAUAAAGCAGCCAUGGAGCUUCCUCCUAUUCCUCUGGCUUCGGGUGAGUUGGUCCACUCCUCCCUUCUACUCUGGUUCGUAGCACAUCGGGACCAGUAGUGGCUUCAAAUUAACCCCAAGUUGCAUGUUCUUUCUAGGGCAACAACAUUGUAGGGAACGAUUGUCUUUCUAGUAAGCUAUUCUGAAGCCCAUCUACGUCUUGGAGCAGCAACCAGUGUGUUUGAGGUAAUUUGUACAGAAAACACCAGGUACAUGGUUAGGAAUCAGGUCGAAGUCUAAUUACAGUAUCUCCCCAAGGCUCCAAUCCUUUUCUUUUCCAAUCUUUAAUAUUCUAUUAUUCAAGUUUUUACAAUGCAAAAAUCCAACAUAUGUUCUUUUAGGCUAAUUACUAAAUAAAUCUAACGAUAGUCCAUGUGGCGGCGGAGGUGUAGCGAUGGUAGUUUGAAGCAGAUUAGGCGGCCGCAAGCGUCUCUGGUGCCAAGGCUGUUGAGUAGAGGAUCUGGCCAUGUGGCAAUUCAUUUUCUAUUCUCCAUCCUUUAAGGUCAUAACAGAAGAAAUAACUAUGCAAUUGACUUGAUCACUAUUGUUUUAUCUAGAAAAAAAUAUGUUUUGUACGCAUGUAUUGAUGAGUACUCCUCUUGACUCGAUUGUGUUGCAAGGAGUGAAAGAAUCCAGUUGGGUGGUCUGCAGCUCUGAUCACCUCCAGCAUCACCACAUAAUCAAAGUUCCAAACAGUAGUGCUGCACUGCUACCUCCAGCCAGCAUUUCACUUUGAUGUUUAUAGGUGGCUUAACAUGAUCAUUUGAUGUGUAUCUUAUGUAGAAGAUUUGAAUGAUGUACGUGUUUAUUUUAGAAAACAUUUCUUAAUGACGCCUUGCAUAUAUACAAGACAGAUAUUCAUGUACAUUAGCUUUAGUUUUGUUUGUUAACUAGAAACUGUGGUUACCUUUUUUUAACCGAAAUCACUAAAGCAUGGGAUGCAUUUGGGGUUUCCAGAUAGCUAAUAUUAGGAGCACACAAGACUUAGACUACUGCUAUGUAACUAAAGGAAAUCAGAACAUUCACCAAUAUCCUCUGUAUAUUUUCUAGCCUUGAAUUCCUGACUUUUUCAUACAAAUUAUAAUUUGGAAACUUUAUUUAUAGGAAUGAUAAAUAGUAUGUACAAAUGCCUUUACUAAAAUUAAGCUUACAUUAGCCACAUGGAAGCCAACACAAUAUCACAUGUAAUAUUUCUUAGUUAGUCAAAAGUAUGCUUCUUUUAAAAUUUAUGGUUCUAAUAUUUUUUUCUCACAUAAAUAUGUUCCAGUUAUAUAUGGUAAACUAAAGCUGUUUAGCCCAUGCAGACGCACGGGUUAACGACUAGUCUAACUAACUCGGGGAUAAAUUCAUUGAUCCAGAUGUAAAAUUGCCAAGAUAGUAACUAGUACACAUAGAACAGGAGGAAUAUAGGUUGCUCUUCUUUUAUUAAGUACGAAUGGAUCUUGAUGAAGCUUUACUUCUUUAGCACUGUUCUAGAGAUGCAUGAGACACCUGUAACCUUUUUCCCUUGGUUUUGAAGCUACACGCACCAACUCGAUGUAUGGUGACUCCAUGGAGCAAGUCAAGUUCGUGGAGCAAGUCAUGGACGAUGCCAUGGAAGGUAUACUCUCUCCCUCUCCCUACCAUGGUACUGCUCAUUGUGUCCACGACCAUUGAGCCAUGCUAGGUUCUAUGCUGCUGUCCAUGAAAAUUUAUAGCAUUUGGGGCUGUAGGUUUCAGUGGAUUUAUUUAGCAAUAAAUAAUUCUGUUAGUUCACAGAAAACAAUUUGACUGUAGCUGUACAGAAUUAGCAAUGGAUCUCUAGGCUGGUGAUGACUAUGUAAAUUUGUUUCAGUGGAUAUGGGGCUGUAGUUUUGUUCCAAAGCGUGGUGAGCACCUUUAGGGUUUUUUUCAUGUUGGAUGACUGAAACCAACUAGAGCUAAAUGUUUUGGUUCAGUUUUAGAUGACAAACCGUUUUGGUUCAGUUUGCUAACUAAAUGGAGAAGAGAAAAGAAGUGGUACUAUCACUCACAUUGCCCUUGAAUGCACAUCAACACUUAGGCUACUCUCCAUAUAAUUUUAUUAAGCCAUGUUUUUCUGCAGGCUGUGUCAUAUAUUGUGGCGUCUUGAUUAAUCAUCAAUGACAACUAACACUCAUGUCGGUCUCUUUUCACAAUCACAAUAGGGACGUAGCUCUUGCUAUAGUUCUAAGUUGUGAUCCAAAAUUUAAGCUUGAUGAUGCUAAAAAUUACAAAUGAAUUCUUGGUAGUGCAUGUCGAUAUGGCACUUGUGAAAACUGAAGAUUUGGUAUGGAGUCGCAAAAGGUGAAAUACUCUUGAUAAUACAGAAAAAAAAGAAUACAUGACCUUCAACCUUCGUACAUGCCUGAUAUCCUGCUGCCUCUAUUACUACAUUCAUCAUGUCAAUGCAUUGUGUAUUAACAGUUCAUUUUGUUAUUUUCUUUAUAGAUUCAAAAUAUAUAUGGAUGAUUAUAAUGGUGCGUGGCAAGUAUAUUGCAAUGAUGAUGAUGUUCCGGUUCAUGAUGAUGAUGAUGUUCCGGUUCAUGAUGAUAAUGAUGGAUGCUAUCAGUUUUAGUUAAGUUGUAGGGAUGAUGUUCCUGUCUGAUGAUGUUCCCCAGUUAAGUUAGUUUAAGUUGUAGGGAUGUUGAAGGAUGCUUUCUAUUUAAGUUUCGCUGUCAAGAAAAUAUUUAGAUUAUGCAUCAAAUUUGGAUGAUGUUUCCCCUGCAAUAUCAACCAUUGUAAUCCAACAACUUUAUCCAAUAUAUGAUUUCUUUCUCUAAUGAGUAUAUUCUUUUUUUUCCACACUUCAUAUACAUAAUUACCACUGUUAUGUUGAGCAUUAAUUUAAUUGUUGGCAAUAUUAUUUACAUUAUAUAUGUAACAACACAUGAAGCGUUGAAAAAUCCUAGUUGCCAGAAAUGAGAUUUGGAUUCUUGUACAUUAAGCA